UAUACAGCGAAACUGCGAAUGGCUCAUUAUAUAAGUUAUCGUUUAUUUGAUAGUGCCUUACUACUUGGAUAACCGUGGUAAUUCUAGAGCUAAUACAUGCUAAAAACCCCGACUUCGGAAGGGGUGUAUUUAUUAGAUACAAAACCAAUGCCCUUCGGGGCUCUUUGGUGAUUCAUGAUAACUAUACGAAUCGCACGGCCUUGCGCCGGCGAUGGUUCAUUCAAAUUUCUUCCCUAUCAACUUUCGAUGUUUGGGUAUUGGCCAAACAUGGUUGCAACGGGUAACGGAGGGUUAGGGCUCGACCCCGGAGAAGGAGCCUGAGAAACGGCUACUACACCCAAGGAAGGCAGCAGGCGCGCAAAUUACCCAAUCCCGACUCGGGGAGGUAGUGACAAUAAAUACUGAUACAGGGCCCUUUCGGGCCUUGUAAUUGGAAUGAGUACAAUUUAAAUCCCUUAACGAGGAACAAUUGGAGGGCAAGUCUGGUGCCAGCAGCCGCGGUAAUUCCAGCUCCAAUAGCGUAUAU
rnacentral:rRNA from 1 species